AUACCCAAUGUGCCGAAAGGUGAAAGAUUUAUCGUCUGAAGAUGGGCUCGCGUCUGAUUAGCUAGAUGGUGGGGUAAGAGCCUACCAUGGCAACGAUCAGUAGCUGGUCUGAGAGGAUGAGCAGCCACACUGGGACUGAGACACGGCCCAGACUCCUACGGGAGGCAGCAGUGGGGAAUUUUCCGCAAUGGGCGAAAGCCUGACGGAGCAAUACCGCGUGAGGGAGGAAGGUCCUUGGAUUGUAAACCUCUUUUAUCAGGGAAGAAGUUCUGACGGUACCUGAUGAAUAAGCAUCGGCUAACUCCGUGCCAGCAGCCGCGGUAAUACGGAGGAUGCAAGCGUUAUCCGGAAUUAUUGGGCGUAAAGCGUCCGUAGGUGGUUUUUCAAGUCUGCUGUUAAAGAAUGGAGCUUAACUCCAUAGGAGCGGUGGAAACUGAGAGACUAGAGUACAGUAGGGGUAGCAGGAAUUCCCAGUGUAGCGGUGAAAUGCGUAGAUAUUGGGAAGAACAUCGGUGGCGAAAGCGUGCUACUGGGCUGAAACUGACACUGAGGGACGAAAGCUAGGGUAGCGAAUGGGAUUAGAUA
rnacentral:rRNA from 1 species